rnacentral:rRNA from 1 species
AGGAUGAACGCUGGCGGCGUGCUUACACAUGCAAGUCGAACGAUGAAGCCCAGCUUGCUGGGUGGAUUAGUGGCGAACGGGUGAGUAACACGUGAGUAACCUGCCCUUAACUCUGGGAUAAGCCUGGGAAACUGGGUCUAAUACCGGAUAGGAGCGUCCACCGCAUGGUGGGUGUUGGAAAGAUUUAUCGGUUUUGGAUGGACUCGCGGCCUAUCAGCUUGUUGGUGAGGUAAUGGCUCACCAAGGCGACGACGGGUAGCCGGCCUGAGAGGGUGACCGGCCACACUGGGACUGAGACACGGCCCAGACUCCUACGGGAGGCAGCAGUGGGGAAUAUUGCGCAAUGGGCGCAAGCCUGAUGCAGCGACGCCGCGUGAGGGAUGACGGCCUUCGGGUUGUAAACCUCUUUCAGUAGGGAAGAAGCGAAAGUGACGGUACCUGCAGAAGAAGCACCGGCUAACUACGUGCCAGCAGCCGCGGUAAUACGUAGGGUGCGAGCGUUAUCCGGAAUUAUUGGGCGUAAAGAGCUCGUAGGCGGUUUGUCGCGUCUGUCGUGAAAGUCCGGGGCUUAACCCCGGAUCUGCGGUGGGUACGGGCAGACUAGAGUGCAGUAGGGGAGACUGGAAUUCCUGGUGUAGCGGUGGAAUGCGCAGAUAUCAGGAGGAACACCGAUGGCGAAGGCAGGUCUCUGGGCUGUAACUGACGCUGAGGAGCGAAAGCAUGGGGAGCGAACAGGAUUAGAUACCCUGGUAGUCCAUGCCGUAAACGUUGGGCACUAGGUGUGGGGACCAUUCCACGGUUUUCCGCGCCGCAGCUAACGCAUUAAGUGCCCCGCCCU